CGAGGGGAGUGAAAAAGAACCUGAAACCGUGUACGUACAAGCAGUGGGAGCCUCUUUAUGGGGUGACUGCGUACCUUUUGUAUAAUGGGUCAGCGACUUAUAUUCUGUAGCAAGGUUAACCGAAUAGGGGAGCCGAAGGGAAACCGAGUCUUAACUGGGCGUUAAGUUGCAGGGUAUAGACCCGAAACCCGGUGAUCUAGCCAUGGGCAGGUUGAAGGUUGGGUAACACUAACUGGAGGACCGAACCGACUAAUGUUGAAAAAUUAGCGGAUGACUUGUGGCUGGGGGUGAAAGGCCAAUCAAACCGGGAGAUAGCUGGUUCUCCCCGAAAGCUAUUUAGGUAGCGCCUCGUGAAUUCAUCUCCGGGGGUAGAGCACUGUUUCGGCAAGGGGGUCAUCCCGACUUACCAACCCGAUGCAAACUGCGAAUACCGGAGAAUGUUAUCACGGGAGACACACGGCGGGUGCUAACGUCCGUCGUGAAGAGGGAAACAACCCAGACCGCCAGCUAAGGUCCCAAAGUCAUGGUUAAGUGGGAAACGAUGUGGGAAGGCCCAGACAGCCAGGAUGUUGGCUUAGAAGCAGCCAUCAUUUAAAGAAAGCGUAAUAGCUCACUGGUCGAGUCGGCCUGCGCGGAAGAUGUAACGGGGCUAAACCAUGCACCGAAGCUGCGGCAGCGACGCUUAUGCGUUGUUGGGUAGGGGAGCGUUCUGUAAGCCUGUGAAGGUGUGCUGUGAGGCAUGCUGGAGGUAUCAGAAGUGCGAAUGCUGACAUAAGUAACGAUAAAGCGGGUGAAAAGCCCGCUCGCCGGAAGACCAAGGGUUCCUGUCCAACGUUAAUCGGGGCAGGGUGAGUCGACCCCUAAGGCGAGGCCGAAAGGCGUAGUCGAUGGGAAACAGGUUAAUAUUCCUGUACUUGGUGUUACUGCGAAGGGGGGACGGAGAAGGCUAUGUUGGCCGGGCGACGGUUGUCCCGGUUUAAGCGUGUAGGCUGGUUUUCCAGGCAAAUCCGGAAAAUCAAGGCUGAGGCGUGAUGACGAGGCACUACGGUGCUGAAGCAACAAAUGCCCUGCUUCCAGGAAAAGCCUCUAAGCAUCAGGUAACAUCAAAUCGUACCCCAAACCGACACAGGUGGUCAGGUAGAGAAUACCAAGGCGCUUGAGAGAACUCGGGUGAAGGAACUAGGCAAAAUGGUGCCGUAACUUCGGGAGAAGGCACGCUGAUAUGUAGGUGAGGUCCCUCGCGGAUGGAGCUGAAAUCAGUCGAAGAUACCAGCUGGCUGCAACUGUUUAUUAAAAACACAGCACUGUGCAAACACGAAAGUGGACGUAUACGGUGUGACGCCUGCCCGGUGCCGGAAGGUUAAUUGAUGGGGUUAGCGGUAACGCGAAGCUCUUGAUCGAAGCCCCGGUAAACGGCGGCCGUAACUAUAACGGUCCUAAGGUAGCGAAAUUCCUUGUCGGGUAAGUUCCGACCUGCACGAAUGGCGUAAUGAUGGCCAGGCUGUCUCCACCCGAGACUCAGUGAAAUUGAACUCGCUGUGAAGAUGCAGUGUACCCGCGGCAAGACGGAAAGACCCCGUGAACCUUUACUAUAGCUUGACACUGAACAUUGAGCCUUGAUGUGUAGGAUAGGUGGGAGGCUUUGAAGUGUGGACGCCAGUCUGCAUGGAGCCGACCUUGAAAUACCACCCUUUAAUGUUUGAUGUUCUAACGUUGACCCGUAAUCCGGGUUGCGGACAGUGUCUGGUGGGUAGUUUGACUGGGGCGGUCUCCUCCUAAAGAGUAACGGAGGAGCACGAAGGUUGGCUAAUCCUGGUCGGACAUCAGGAGGUUAGUGCAAUGGCAUAAGCCAGCUUGACUGCGAGCGUGACGGCGCGAGCAGGUGCGAAAGCAGGUCAUAGUGAUCCGGUGGUUCUGAAUGGAAGGGCCAUCGCUCAACGGAUAAAAGGUACUCCGGGGAUAACAGGCUGAUACCGCCCAAGAGUUCAUAUCGACGGCGGUGUUUGGCACCUCGAUGUCGGCUCAUCACAUCCUGGGGCUGAAGUAGGUCCCAAGGGUAUGGCUGUUCGCCAUUUAAAGUGGUACGCGAGCUGGGUUUAGAACGUCGUGAGACAGUUCGGUCCCUAUCUGCCGUGGGCGCUGGAGAACUGAGGGGGGCUGCUCCUAGUACGAGAGGACCGGAGUGGACGCAUCACUGGUGUUCGGGUUGUCAUGCCAAUGGCACUGCCCGGUAGCUAAAUGCGGAAGAGAUAAGUGCUGAAAGCAUCUAAGCACGAAACUUGCC
rnacentral:rRNA from 1 species